rnacentral:lncRNA from 1 species
UUCUCCUUUAGUCUCCAAAGGAGAAGACCUCUAAAGAUCCACACCCACUAGAGUAGUGAGAUGGAUGGAGGAAUAACCAAAAGGGUGAAAGAUUGUUAGUAAAUUCACCCUCUAGGUGGCCGGCCUUUGUGGUUUUAGAGAGCUAUUUUCUUUUGCCUCUUUGUUGUUCAAAAACUCACAAAAAACCCUAAUGAACUUUGUGCUAUAAAGUUCCUUAUAUAGACAAAAAGAAACCUAGUGAACAACUUGACUAAAUAUCUCUCCCAAACCCUUUAAGUGGCCGGCCCUUUAGUGUUUUGGUUUGGGCUUUUGGGCUUUUAUUUAUUUCAAGUCAUCCUAUGCUUGAAUAAAAGCCCAAUGGGCCGAAUUAAACCCGAACGUUUCUUUAAGCCCAAAACGAUCUUUUAUCGCUUUUAU